AACGAACGCUGGCGGCAGGCUUAACACAUGCAAGUCGAGCGCCCCGCAAGGGGAGCGGCAGACGGGUGAGUAACACGUGGGGAUCUGCCCGAUGGUACGGAAUAACUCAGGGAAACUUGUGCUAAUACCGUAUGUGCCCGCAAGGGGAAAGAUUUAUCGCCAUCGGAUGAACCCGCGUCAGAUUAGCUAGUUGGUGGGGUAAAGGCGCACCAAGGCGACGAUCUGUAGCUGGUCUGAGAGGAUGAUCAGCCACACUGGGACUGAGACACGGCCCAGACUCCUACGGGAGGCAGCAGUGGGGAAUAUUGGACAAUGGGCGCAAGCCUGAUCCAGCCAUGCCGCGUGAGUGAUGAAGGCCUUAGGGUUGUAAAGCUCUUUCGCCGACGAAGAUAAUGACGGUAGUCGGAGAAGAAGCCCCGGCUAACUUCGUGCCAGCAGCCGCUGUAACAC
rnacentral:rRNA from 1 species